UGUUCGAAAAUGACAACUCUAGCAGAGAACACACAGACACUGUGAUUUACCUACUCUCAAGUCCAGGUGGUAAAGAUUUUAAUUUCAAUCUCUUGAUAUCUGAUUUCUGCGCAUUGAAUUUGUAGCCAUGUCUGCCGUUUUGUUCAAGAGAGGAGCUCAAACACUAACAACCACUCCAUUCCAUGCUCAUACUGUAUUUGUAAGCACCCCUUCUCUUUUUCAUUCUCAUUUUCUUCUUUUCUCUACUAAACCCCCCUUUAUUCCUUCUCCAUCUACCACAUAUCCCGAACUUAAACAAUUACUCUAUCAUAGAUCUAAGCUUGGUUUCGAUAAACUCGACGAUGCUCUUCUUCUGUUCGAUAAAAUGCUCCUUCUGAAAUCUAGCCUUUCUGUUGUGCAUUUCACACAACUGUUAACUGCCCUCGUUCGAAUGGAAGAGUAUUCUGUUGCCGUCUCCAUGUUUAGAGAAUUCCGUGUUUUAAGCAUUCCUGUUAAUAUUGUUACCUUUACUACUGCCAUCCAUUCCUGUUGUCACUUGAAUACGCUUGAUUAUGCCUUUUCGUUGCUUGCUGGAAUCAUCAAGAGUGGUUGGGUGCCCGAUGUCUUUACCUACAACACUCUCAUCAAGGGCCUUCUGUCUCAAGACAGGCCUUUGGAGGCUGAGCAUUUAUUUAGGAAGCUUAUCAGAUUUCGAGAAAUUCAGCCUGAUGUAGUUAUGCAUAGCACCAUCAUUGAUGGUCUCUGCAAAACUUCAAAUACCUCCAUGGCUCUCAAGUUGUUAAGAAAGAUGGAGGGAAUAGGUUGUAAACCUGAUGUGAUAACUUAUAACACGAUAAUCGAUUCUCUGUGCAAAGAAAGACGAGUCGAUCAUGCAUUGGAUCUUGUUUCUGAAAUGACCCACAAAGGCAUAUCACCAGAUGUUAUAACCUAUAACUGCUUACUUCAAGGUCUUUGCAGCUCAGGCCGAUGGGAGGACGUUGAGCGGUUAUUUAGUGAGAUGAGUGUUAGGAAGAUCUAUUCAAUUCUGCACACCUAUAAUAUAUUAGUUGAUGCACACUGCAAAGAAGGGAGGACAAAAGAUGCUCAAGAUGUUAUUGAAAUUAUGAUCCAGAAAGGUGUGCCUCCUAAUUCAAUCACAUACAACACACUAAUGGAUGGAUUUUGUUUAACAGGCAAAAUGGACAGGGCACUAGAGGUGCUGAAUACCAUGAGAAGUAAUGGGAUAGCGCCAGAUUGUUAUAGCUUUAACAUUCUGAUAAAUGGCUAUUGUAAGAGGCAGGAAGUAGACAAAGCCAUCAAUCUCCUCAGACAAAUGCCUGUUGAAGGUAUAAAAGCCGAUGUUCAAACCUACAACACCAUUAUACAUGGUCUCUUUCAGAUGGGUAGACAUAAUGAUGUGCGCAGCCUUUUACAUGAAAUGCUAAAAAAAGGUAAUAAACCAAAUAUCGUAACAUGUCGAAUUCUGUUGGAUGGCCUUUGCAAGAACCGAUACAUGGAUGAAGCAAUUUCCUUCUUUCGAAUGAUGGAAUGUAAAGGUAUAGUUCAUGAUAUUCAAAUACAUAAUAUCAUCAUCGAUGGUCUCUGCAAGAACAGAAAACUUGACGAGGCCAGAAAUAUUUUUGAUAAGUUUGCUUCAAAAGGUUUGCAACCCGAUGUCACAACACACAACAUAAUGAUCAGAGGAUUUUGUCUAGAAGGGUUAUUUGAGGAAGCAAAGAUAUUACUUUCUGAGAUGGAAACUAGUGGUUGUUUGCCUAACGAUGUGACUUACAACACGAUCAUCCGUGGAAGCCUUUUGAAUAAAAGAUACGAAGAAGCAAUUGUACUGAUUGAGAAAAUGCGAGCUCACAAUUUCUCAGCGGAUGCAUCGACCACAUCCAUGGUAGCAGAGCUAUUACCUAAAGAAGAUCAGGAAGAAGAGGAAGAACAGGACCCCGCCGUUCUUUCUUUCUGCAAAUGGUUUUUGCAAUAGAAAUGAAACAGUGAUGUUACGCUAUUUGGUUUGGAAAGAAAGCUGGCUUUCUGAAUAAUCUUUUAUUUCUCUGGUUCUAAUAAUUUAAUGUGGAAAAUUAAGGUCCGGUUUGUUAGAAAAAUGAUCUCGCUGACAGCUCGAGCACAUUCUUUAUUUGAGAAGAUUAGUCAAAUAGUUCUGAAGGUCUCUACAUCAAAUGCUGGAUAACUGAAGUGCAUCCCCGAGUCCCUCAUUUAUGCUUCAUGUUUGAUAUUGAGGACUGCUUACCAGAAGUGCAGAAGAAUGAUCAGAAAAGUAUGAAUUCAUCGUCUUUACUCCUGUCCCUAAAAUUUAAAAGCUAUAGGUAAUGGACCUAACUCUAUGUACUCAACAGAUUUCAUCAAGUGGCCCCUUAAAUGGUAAUAAGCAUUUCAAGUGACUUUUGCACAAUCUUACAGUUUGUUGCAUCCAGAUCUAUGUCGCUUGCACUAAUUUAGCAUCGAACUUCAAAUUGUCAUCAAACUUAACGGAUUUAUUGUAGCUGUACUGGUCAAUUGUACAGACAGUUGAGAGUACAUUGGCAUAGCUACGAUGGAUGUUGACAUACAUUGGCAUAGCUAUGAAGAAUCUUGACAACCAUAUUGACAAGAGCAAACUUGAUUAUUAAAAGUCCCAUCUUCCGGGCUCUGAAUGAGCAGCAACAGAACCACCCAGAUCAAUAAUAUUUAUCUUAAAGAGAUAAAUCAAUUUAGUGUCACCUAUAAUAUACUUAUGGAUAGAUCUGAAAGUCAAUGUGAAAAUUAUAAAAA